UCUGUUGAUUUGCUGCCAACAGUGUUUGUGCCACUUCAGCAUUUGGAAGCCUUGCUGUUAAAUAAUCAAUAUUUAUUAUUAAAAAUGGAGAAACAUUUACUAAACUUUCCUUGGAGAUUUUCCUGACAUGCCUUUGACAUCCCUUUGUUAAUGAAAACUCUCUGGACUGUUUUCAAAAUUUUUUCAAUGUAUUUGCAGAAAGGAAGAGGACAGUAGAAGAGGCACUUCUAGUUCCAAACUUCUCAAAAUUGACCAGAUAGAAUAAAUUGUGCAGAGAACUGAGGACUGCUCCAAUGCCAAUGGAAGUUCAUGGGAAAAAACCCAUUUCCUGUUUUUAACAACUGGAAGUUGCACAAGAAGUGAGCAAGGGUGAGAUUAAGGAAUGUGGAAUUCUAAGGAAUGAACUGAAGAUGGAACUGACUGAAGUAUGAGGAAUGGCUUUGUGUUCCUGCUGAAGGUGGAGGGAACCCACCAACUCAUACUUUAUUUCUUUGGCUUCUCUUUGCAGCAGGGGAGUUUUUAAGGUCAGCAAUGUGGCCUUUGCUGAAAUCUCAGAGAAGGAAGGUCAAAACAUGGGAUUGUGCAUCUACUAGAAAUCCAAAGGCUUUAGGAACUUUACUAAGAUAUGAAACCUAAAUAAUUUUACUGACUCUCCUGUGAUCAAGAUGACAUGUAAGUCAAUCUUGCAGAACUAUCAUGAACUCUUCCAGCUAAGGCAUGAAUUUUGCUGAUUUAUAGUGUCCUAUGGCAGCUGAUGGAUUUUGAAGAAGAAAAUCCAUUAGGAUAUUUUAUUGGCUCUUGAAAGGAAAUCAGCUAUGCAGCUCAGCUGUGGGGGCAGAGUAUUGUCUUAGGCUGCAAUACAAGAUGUGACCAGAUGUGUUCUAUUCCCAUCUGUUAAAACCAGCUGGGGCAGUGUUCUUUAUCUCUUCCACAGCCCAUCCUCCCUCCAGGGGGAAACCUUCUGUUAAUGGCCAUGGAGUCUCACUGCAGGACUGAUACAAUUCCAUCAUCCCACUGGGAGAUGCUCCACCCAGGGGGGAGCCAAGAAUU